CCUACUUGCAGGGUUAUAAUAAAACAUUCCUAAAAAGUGGAUUACAUCUUUACACAACGCAUCAAAUUGAUAGUCUGAAUUAAACAUAUUUAAUUUUACAAAAAUCUAAUGAGAGACAAAUAAUUAAAAUUUCCAUCUACCAAGGCAACAAAACAAAAAAAAAAAAAAGCAAACAAAAAUCACAUUGGACUAAACAAAAGGCAAAACAAGUUUUUUAAAAACACAAACAAAAAACCCCAAUAAGUUUUCCCAUGAGAAAUGACAAAUACAGAUGUAGUUUUGCUAGGCAGUUAUGCAGAUCUGUGCCUAUCAGUUGGUGAGCUUUCAAAUGUGAUACAAACUCACAAGGCAGCAGCAGAGGACUGUUUAAGAAACACAUAUUUUAAAGAAUUGUUUCAGACAUCAUUAACAGUAGAUUAAAUGUUGCUGCAGAAUAAAGGCAUUCCUAAAACAUACCUAUAUUGGCCAUUCACCAAAGCCACAACUUGUAUUAACCAAAUAGACAGUUAAGCUUGGGGUGAUAACGGAUUAGCCCAGUGAUGGCGAACCUUUUUGUGCCUGAGUGCCCAAACCGCAAUACAUGCCAACUUUUUUUUCCUUAAAGUGCCAACAUGGCAAUUAAACCUGAAUACUGAGGUUUAAGUUUAGAAAAAAAAACUACUCGUACAGUUGUCCGAACUAAUUAACAAUUUUUGUUUUAAAAGAAGAACACAACAGAGAGUUCAAUGAUACGAAUUUUAAAUUAUGAUAUAAAUAGAUAAAAUUAAGCUUAUAUUUAUUAGUAUCUCCAACAAAUGAAAUACAUACACACAGACUGCUGAACACAUUCACACACCGUCCGCUAAAUACAUACACACACCGUCCGCUAAAUACACACACACACCGUCCGCUAAAUACACACACAGACAGACUGCUGAAUACACACAGACUGAUAAAUACACACACAGACUGCUG